ACGCGUAGGAUCCUAUAUCCAUCCCUCAGCCUCUUGCUCUCCUCAAGACCCUGCAUAGAAGUGCAUAAAUGAGCACUAGAACCAGAGUCAAGUACCCAACUGGAUGUAGAGGAAAUCGUAAGAUUAGAUUUUAUAACAAGCAUACCUCCAGAAGGACCAUCCUUCUUGUUCUUCAGGGUGGCCAGGUAUUGAGGACAGUUUC
rnacentral:lncRNA from 1 species